rnacentral:rRNA from 1 species
UACGAAGGGGGCUAGCGUUGUUCGGAAUUACUGGGCGUAAAGCGUGCGCAGGCGGCUUCUCAAGUCAGGGGUGAAAGCCCAGAGCUCAACUCUGGAAUUGCCUUUGAGACUGAGUGGCUUGAGUACGGGAGAGGUGAGUGGAAUUCCCAGUGUAGAGGUGAAAUUCGUAGAUAUUGGGAAGAACACCGGUGGCGAAGGCGGCUCACUGGCUCAUUUCUGACGCUCAGGCGCGACAGCGUGGGGAGUCAAACAGG